GACGAACGCUGGCGGCGUGCUUAACACAUGCAAGUCGAACGGAAAGGCCCUGCUUUUGUGGGGUGCUCGUGUGCCGAACGGGUGAGUAACACGUGAGUAACCUGCACCUGACUGUGGGAUAACUUCAGGAAACUGGGGCUAAUACCGGAUAGGAUCUCCUGCUGCAUGGUGGGGGUUGGAUAGUUUCGGCUGUUGGGGAUGGACUCGCGGCUUAUCCGCUUGUUGGUGGGGUAGGUGCUUACCAAGGCUUUGACGGGUAGCCGGCCUGAGAGGGUGACCGGCCACAUUGGGACUGCGGGACGGCCCAGAAUCGUACGGGAGGCAGCAGUGGGGAGUAUGGCACAAUGGGCGGAAGCCUGAUGCAGAAACGCCGCGGGCGGGAUACCGGCCUUCGAGUUGUAAACCGCUUUCGCCUGUGACAAAGCGGGAGUGACGGUAAUGGGUAAAGAAGCACCGGCUAACUACGUG
rnacentral:rRNA from 1 species